AUACAAUAUACCACCCAUAAUAAUAUUUUGUACAGCUGUUUCAAAAUUCAGAGUAAACUGUACAGCUAUUUUGAAAUUCUAAAAAACUGUACAGUAUGACUACGAAAACAAAGGGGGUGGAGACAAACGAAAAUAUAACUUUGUCGUUAGACUGUUGUAUAGAUAACUUUGUCGUUACACUGCUGUAAGUUCUUUGUAAUAAAAAUUUGAAAAAUCAUUAAACUUUUCUUUGCCUUCCUUUGCCUCAUUUCCAAAGCACACUCUUCUUCCUCUUCGGCUUCAAUCCACCACUAGACCCGUCUUUCGCAACCAUUGUCGUCUUUUUCGUCUUUAAGCCGUCCUUGCUCUUCUCUAGCUUCACAACGUCUGGUUUCACCUUCCCCUUGACCGCUGUUUCUUCAUUGGUUUCUCAACAUAUGGUUUCAACUUCCUUUUGGCAGCUUUCUUCAUCGCUUCUCACUCUUUGCAACCUCAUUAAAUUUUAAUAACUCUGAAAUAUAGAUAUUUUUUAAAAAAUUAUCUCCCAAUAUAUUUCGCAUUCACUCCCAAUAUAUUUCAAAUGAAUGUCUCUUCUUACAAAAAAAAAUUACAUCACAACCCAAAAGAUUGCCUAUUACACAUUUCAUACAAAACAAACAUGAUGCCUAUAG